GUGCUCGCUUCGGCAGCACAUAUACUAAAAUUGGAAUGAUACAGAGAAGAUUAGCAUGGCCCCUGUGCAAGGAAGAAUCCUUAUUCUUGGGGAUCAUCCUGCUCUUU